UAUUUGAUAACUCGUACAGUCAGGGUCAUUCAAUAAUACUGGACAUUCAUUUCUAGUCUGUGACUGGAUCUAGCCAAGAAAUAGUCAAAAUAAUUCUUCCAUAACAUUGAAGGUCCAAAGUUUUUAGCUCACCUGAACCGAAGGUUCAAGUGAGCUAUUCUGAUCACAUUUUGUCCGGCGUCCGUCUGUCUGUCCGUCUGUCUGUAAACUUUUCACAUUUUCGACUUCUUCUCCAGAACCACGGGGCCAAUUUCAACCUAACUUGGCCAAAAGCAUCCUUGGGUGAAGGGCUUUCAAGUUUGUUCAAAUGAAGGGCCAUGUUCCUUUCAAAGGGGAGAUAAUCACAAAAAUGCAAAAAUAGGGUGGGGUCAUUUAAAAAUCUUCUUCUCAAGAACCACUGGGCCAGAAGAGCCGAAAUUUACCUGAAAGCUUCCUGACAUAUUGCAGAUUCAAGUUUGUUCAAAUCAUGGCCCCCGGUGUUAGAAUGGGGCCACAAGGGGGGAUCAAAGUUUUACAUACAAAUAUAUAGGGAAAAACGUUAAAAAUCUUCUUCUCAAGAACCACUAAGCCAGAAAAGCUGAGAUUUACAUGAAAGCUUCCUGACAUAAUGCAGAUUCAAGUUUGUUCAAAUCAUGGGCCCCUGGUGUUGGAUGGGGCCACAAUAGGGGAUCAAAGUUUUACAUACAAAUAUAUAGGAAAAAUCUUUAAAAAUCUUCUUCUCAAGAACCACUAAGCCAGAAAAGCUGAUUUUUACAUGAAAACUUUCUGACAUAGUGCAGAUUCAAGUUUGUUCAAAUCAUGGCCCCCGGGGAUAAGAUGGGAUCCCAAGGGGGGGAUCAAAGUUUUACACACAAAUAUAUAGGGAAAAACGUUAAAAAUCUUCUUCUCAAGAACCACUAAGCCAGAAAAGCUGAGAUUUACAUGAAAGCUUCCUGACAUAAUGCAGAUUCAAGUUUGUUCAAAUCAUGGGCCCCUGGUGUUGGAUGGGCCCACAAUAGGGGAUCAAAGUUUUACAUACAAAUAUAUAGGAAAAAUCUUUAAAAAUCUUCUUCUCAAGAACCACUAAGCCAGAAAAGCUGAUUUUUACAUGAAAACUUUCUGACAUAGUGCAGAUUCAAGUUUGUUCAAAUCAUGGCCCCCGGGGAUAAGAUGGGGCCCCAAGGGGGGGAUCAAAGUUUUACACACAAAUAUAUAGGGAAAAACGUUAAAAAUCUUCUUCUCAAGAACCACUAAGCCAGAAAAGCUGAGAUUUACAUGAAAGCUUCCUGACAUAUUGCAGAUUCAAGUUUGUUCAAAUCAUGGCCCCCGGUGUUAGGAUGAGGCCACAAGGGGGGAUCAAAGUUUUACAUACAAAUAUAUAGGGAAAAACUUUAAAAAUCUUCUUCUCAAGAACCACUAAGCCAGAAAAGCUGAGAUUUACAUGAAAGCUUCCUGACAUAAUGCAGAUUCAAGUUUGUUCAAAUCAUGGGCCCCUGGUGUUGGAUGGGGCCACAAUAGGGGAUCAAAGUUUUACAUACAAAUAUAUAGGAAAAAUCUUUAAAAAUCUUCUUCUCAAGAACCACUAACCCAGAAAAGCUGAUUUUUACAUGAAAACUUUCUGACAUAGUGCAGAUUCAAGUUUGUUCAAAUCAUGGCCCCCGGGGAUAAGAUGGGGCCCCAAGGGGGGAUCAAAGUUUUACACACAAAUAUAUAGGGAAAAACGUUAAAAAUCUUCUUCUCAAGAACCACUAAGCCAGAAAAGCUGAAAUUUACAUGAAAGCUUCCUGACAUAAUGCAGAUUCAAGUUUGUUCAAAUCAUGGGCCCCUGGGGUUGGAUGGGGCCACAAUAGGGGAUCAAAGUUUUACACACAAAUAUAUAGGGAAAAACGUUAAAAAUCUUCUUCUCAAGAACCACUAAGCCAGAAAAGCUGAUUUUUACAUGAAAACUUUCUGACAUAGUGCAGAUUCAAGUUUGUUCAAAUCAUGGCCCCCGGGGAUAAGAUGGGGCCCCAAGGGGGGGAUCAAAGUUUUACACACAAAUAUAUAGGGAAAAACUUUAAAAAUCUUCUUCUCAAGAACCACUAAGCCAGAAAAGCUGAGAUUUACAUGAAAGCUUCCUGACAUAAUGCAGAUUCAAGUUUGUUCAAAUCAUGGGCUCCGGGGGUUGGAUGGGGCCACAAUAGGGGAUCAAAGUUUUACAUACAAAUAUAUAGGAAAAAUCUUUUUCUCAAGAACCACUGAGCCAGAAAAGCUGAUUUUUACAUGAAAACUUUCUGACAUAGUGCAGAUUCAAGUUUCUUCAAAUCAUGGGCUCCGGGGGUAGGAUGGGGCCACAAGGGGGAUCAAAGUUUUACAUACAAAUAUAUAGUUAAAAUCUUUUUCUCAAUAACCACUGAGUCAGAAAAGCUGAUAUUUACAAGAAAACUUUCUGACAUAGUGCAGAUUCAAGUUUGUUCAAAUCAUGGUCCCCGGGGGGUAGGAUGGGGCCACAAGUGGGGGGGGGGGUCAAAGUUUUACAUACAAAUGUAGAAAAAAGCUUUAAAAGAACCAUUGGGCCAAAGAAGUUGACAUUUACAUGAAAGCUUUCUGACAUAGUGUAGAUUCAAGUUUGCAAAGGGUAGUUUGGGCCAUAAUAGGGACCAAGGUUUUACAUGCAAAUAUAUAUGGAAAGUCUUCAGAUAUGGGCCAAGGUGACUCAGGUGAGCGAUGUGGCCCAUGGGCCUCUUGUUGUUAAGGUCACUUAAUUGCUAUCUGUUUUUGUCUGUCGCUGUGCAUAUGUGCAGGUGUGUGUCAUUUGUAAACUUCUCACAUUUUCAAUUCAUUCUCAAGAACCGCUGAUUAAAAGCUGAUUUCAAUUACACUUGCCACAAAGUAUCCUUAGGUGAGGGGAAUUCUUUUUUUUUCAAAUGAAGGGUAGUGCCCCCUUCCAAGGAGAGAUAAUCAAGAAAAGGUGAUGUCAUUAAAAAAAUCCCUUCUCAAGAAGAGUUGAAUCUUAUCUGAAAGCCUCCUGACAUAGUGUAAAUUCUUUUCUUUUUUAAAUCAUGGCCCCUGGGGGUAGGGUGGGGCCACAGAAGUGGAUCAAAGUUUGACAUAGGAAUAUAUAGGAAGAAAUCUUAUAAGAUCUUCUCAAGAAGGCCAUGGCUGGCCAUAUUAAAAUUGGGAGCAUCCUUAAAUUGUUCCGAUUCCAGUUUGUUCAAAUCAAAACCCCCAGAAGUACGAUGGUUGAAAUAUUACAUACGUAAGUUUUUAAAAAAAAAAAAUUGGCUAUAUAUCACAAUUAUUAGCUAUAUCGAAUCUGUUAUAACAAUGCAAGCAUGACUCCUAUUAUAUCAUCUGUAUAGUUCAUUUAUUUGAGCAUUAUAACCUGUGUGAUUGAUUUUCUAUUUUGAGGUAUGAAGUUGAUGAGUUCAAAUUAAAAUACAGCAUCUGUGGACUGUGGAGCUAAGAGAUUUUAAUAUUUUCCUGCACAUUUUCAGACUCUAGUUCAGUAUUGUUACAUGCAAAUUAUCAGGACAGAAUUGGAGGAAGUGAAAUUUGCUUGGAAUAACCAUCGGAUCAGGAAGCAAAAAAUGGGAGAUGUUGUUCCUGGGAUUCCAGAAUUCCUUUAUCAUGUUCCAGAAAUGUUAGGUAUUCCAAUUGUGAAUGACGAAAAGUUUAAGUUCCUAAAGGACCAGUGCUGUUUUAAAAAUGACUUGGAUAAGGACAUUCAAGAAUCUCUUGAUGUUAUAUGCGACCAUCACCGGCCUUCAUCAGUAUCUGAAGGCAAAGCAAUGUACAUUUCACUGAAAGAUAUAUUGGAACAGUAUAUUUAUCAGUAAUUUAUGAUGUUUUGGACUUUAUGGCAAUUCUGACAAGUUCAAGAUCACCGACAGAAUUUUUCAAAAAUAAAAUCCAGUUAAUGAAUCUAGAAUGGAUAAAUAUUGGAAUUUGAUACUUCAAGCAAAGAUUAAUAUGAGCUAAAGAUAUUUUUUCGUUUUAACUUUGUCUGAAGGUAAUUCGGACAAGUUAAGGUCUUAAGGCAAAAAGUGUUAAUUUCAUGUCAGUCCCAUAACUUUGUAUAGGGGAUACUCUGCAAGUUUAUAUUGCAUAUAAGAUUACUUAUGACCAGAGAGUGUCUCAUUAUUUAUUUUUUUGUAACCAGGGUGAUUUUGGCAAGUUUGUGGUCACUUGUAGAAGUUUGUGAGCUCACAGUGCCUUUAGUUUUUUGUAUUCUUAUUAUUGUUAUAUGACCUCCUGGUCUUUUAUGUUUCCACUGUUGGAUGGUUAUUCUAUGCAAAUUUCACUUCUUCCCAUACUUUUUGCCAUACUCUAUUUAUGUGUCUUAAGUUUUGUAGACAAUUUUUGUAUUUCUUUUUUGUCAGCUUUUCAAUAAUUUGACCUUUCAUUAUGACCAUCUAUGAAAGAAAUUAUGUAUAUUAUGGAACAGUCUGUGCGAAAAGGUAAACCCGACGAUUGCCUCCAAGUGAUCACUGUAAUUGAAACUUUGUGUAAAAACAAAUUUUCGUAUUCUUAAGAGUGAUUUUCUUCAGAGAAAGUUUAUUUGGAGAUUUUAGAUUCUUUAUGGUGAUCCCCCCCUUCCCCCGAGAAUUCUAUUGUUGAUAUACUUUAAAUUAUUAGUAGGAAACCGAUGAGUGAUAGCCUACCUCAUAUGACGUAUUAUGGUAUGGCGUCGUCCGUCUGUCUGUCCGGACCUUGUGGGCAGGAUACAGACUGAACCAUAAGCCCUAGGACUUUACAACUUGGUACAUUUGAUCACCAUGAUGAGAGGAAGAUGCCUAUUGUUUUUCAAGGUCAAAGGUCAAGGUUGUAGUAUCACUUAUUAGGAAAACCUUGUGGGCAGGAUACAAACAGAACCGUAAGCUCCAGGAUAUUAUAACUUGGUAUAUUUGAUCACCAUGAUGAGAGGAAGAUGCCUAUUUUUUUCAAGGUCAAGGUAAUAGGUUUACUUAGUAGGAAAACCUUGUAGGUAUACAGACCGAACCGUUGGGGCUAGGAGUGUCAAAUUUAAUAUGCAUAUACCUUAUUCCAAGUGGAGGAAGCCUAUUGUUUCUCAAGGUCAAAGGUCAAGGUGGUUGUAGCAGGAUACAAAUAAAACUGUUGUGGCUAGGAAUGCCAAUACUUUUCUUUUUCAAGUUUAAAAGGUCAAGACUGUUAGAUGGCAUGCUUCACUUGAUAAUUUGGUGCCAAGUAUAGCUUGUAAACUUCCAAGUUAUACUUUAUUUCUAUAUAAUUUGAGAUUCUCCUGCAAAAAAAAAUGGUGAUCUGCCUCUACAAAAAUAGUUAUGUUCAAUAUUUUUGACCAUUUCAAACUGAAACUAAUUACUGAAAUAAACACAUGAAAUCAAAUUGUAUUGCAUUUCAGUAUACUGUACCUGUACUUAUACUUUAGCACUAACUGUUUCAAGCAAAGGUGUGUGGUAUAUUAGCAUAUUUAUGAAGUAGCGCAUUCUAAGGCUAUCCCUCUUUAUAUCUUGAUAUCCAUUUCUACAAGCAUAAUAAUGAAUUAGCUCAAAGAGGACAGUGCUAACUUCACUAAAAUAUGAAUCCCACUAAAAUAUGUUUUCCUUGAGCAAAAUCUACGGGCGUAUUAUGCCACGUUGGCGUUGCUCUUGUUAUACCAUCUUGACCUGUCACUUAGUCAUCUUGAGUUGUUCCCCUUUGAUUGUGCUAUGAUUUUUAUGUCGAUCUAGUAUAUCUGGUUGUUGUGACAAUAAUAAAUUCUUGUCUUGUUAUAUGCAAGUCCUCAGUCAAGUUGUAUAACAUUUUGCUUGUUUAUUUAUUGAUUCAAAUGAAUAAAUGUAUUAAUUUUA